rnacentral:ncRNA from 1 species
CUCUUAUCAAGAGAGGCGGAGGGAAAAGGGCCCGAUGAAACCCGGCAACCAGUGACAGCACAAUGGUGCCAAUUCCUGCAGUAAAGUCUGCAAGAUAAGAG